CCGGCUCAUUCACUUCACUUUUUUUUUUUUCAUACACUCCUCUCUACACUCAUCUUCUCCACCGGCACUUCCACACCACCAUUUCUACCAUAAUUUUCCGGCAAGAUUACCGAAAAAUUCUUGAAAACCCAUAACACCUUCACAUCCUUUUUUUAAGUUUUGCUUGAUAUUGUUGAGAUUCUAGCUAAUCUCCUCUAGAGCUUGGAGGAUUAGGCUUUUUGCGGGUUGCAAGACUUUGUGACAACGGAAUCAAAUUCAGGUUAGUGCCCUUUCACUUUGGAUGACGCAUUCUUUCCUGUUGUCCAUGGAGGGAAGAGGUUCCUUGAUUGUGUGUGGGUGAGGCUGCUACCCAUGGGGCCAAGAGACCACAUGCAAGAGAGGUCCUA